rnacentral:misc_RNA from 1 species
GUUUUGGGGAAUUUGUUAUUAUUAUUAUUAUGGAUGAAUAAAUUUCAUAAGUUUUACACCAUCUCCUUGACAAUAACUGAGUUGUAUAUUACCAGAAUUUACAAAAUAUCAAUUCAAGCUCCCGCAAUUAUUGUAUGUGGUGCAAAAGUUGAUUGGGGUUUGGAUGGAUCUUCCUUCUGUGCAAUCCCCAAUUACAGAAAGAUGAGCUCCUGCAAUAUGAAAUUGUAUGGGGCCUUCAGAGCCUGAAGCAAAACAGACAUCUUUAGUUAUGGGAUCUGAGCAUCAGAGUGAAACUAGUGAUGGUUUGAAGAUAAAUCCUGCCUCAAAUUCUAGUGAAGAAAAUCAUACUGCCCAUGAAAAAAGGUUAAGCUCAGCAUCCGCCUCAUCUUCUUGUUCUUCAUUUGAAGAUCCCGGGUUCUCCCCAAGCGAGACUGCCCUCAACACCGGAUCAGCAACACAAUCUCCUCCAACGCAACUGAUGGAGCGACCUACUGAGACGGCCACCUCCUCCUCAUAUAGGAUUCCAUCUUCUGUGUUUGCCAGCAAACCUUCAGGCCCAAAUGACUGGAGUGUUGCUUCUAGUGAAUCUUUGUUCAGUAUUCACAUGGGGAAUAUGAGCUUCACUAGAGAUGAAGCAAACUGGUUGGGUAAAUCUGGAGAGAUUGGUUUAAUAGGUGAUCAUGCCCUGUCUGGCUCCUUCUCUCCAAUGUUUGAUUUUUCAAGUAAACGACAUUCGAGUAAUCAGUCACCGAAUAAUAUAUCUGGCGAAA